CAUCUUAAGAGGGCUAUCACAAAUUUUCGCGAAUUUAAACGUUUUAUACGAGUUUUGAUGCUUUGGAUAUAGUCACAAUAAAAAAACAAAAAUAAGAUUCAGAAAGUUUGAUCAUUUAUCUUGAAAGUGUAUUAAAUAAAUAUUUUAAUUUGUCCACGUACAUCAGUAAAAUCUUUGUCUCUGCAAAGGAUGUUUCAUAAAAUGUUGCUUUUGGGUAUCUUUUGAUGCUUCGGUACUCCGAGGAUAUAGCAAUUUAACCAUUUAUAAAAAUGUUCAAGAUACAACUAUAUCUUGUACUUGGAAGUGCUUAAAUCAAUUUAUUACAAUUCAUACAGUAUUACACCAAAAAUAAUUCUAUAAAACUGAGAGUUACUGACAAUUUUCCGUACGAAACUAUAUUUUUUAUCUAUGAAAGUAUAAUCCAAAUUCAAAUAAAAAACAUUUAAUAAUUAAGGUGGUAUUGUUAUAAAGCUUGAAAAAAAAAAUUGGUCUAUUUAAAAGUAAAACAAUAUUUUAAAAUAAUUUUUGUUUGCAAUGCAAAAAUCAAUAUAAAUCUUGUGACGCGCGGUGUUCAACUUUAGUCAGCGCCAGGCGCUUACCGAGGAGGGACGUAUCGCUCGCUGUUGCGCCGCGUAAACUCGCCGGAGUUCGAAAAAUAUAGCGCAACCUACGCAUCUAACACGUUUUGAUACUAGAUAAUGAAAGCAUAUUUAAUUCAGACUAUCAGACUCAAUUGAAUACCAGUACAAAUAAUAUGGUAAGUAUUUUUUGUCACCCGCAAAAGGUAUACGUGACAUAUUUGUUUUAAUAAACUAUCUACAUUCCUAGUUUUCAUUGUUGCAGGAAAAUGAAGAUACAAUACAUGGAAGACGAAUUAUAGAUUUUAGUUUUUUUAUAAAUCAAUUACUUAUAAUUGAUAAACAUGGUGAAAAGUUUGAUUGUCGAUUAAAUAAUUUAAAAAUUGUAAACGAUUACUUGUUUAUUGUAACUCAAUCGAGCUAUUCUAGGUUAUAAAAUUCAUCGGUACAAAUAAUAUUUCAUAAACUAUAAAAACAAUAAAUUAUUUCGGAAAAAAGUGGCAAAGUCUCAAGUUUGUUUGUGCCGCGUGGCGGUCCGCAGGUGUGCGUUGCGUAUUUCACUAGACGCACACAUGCGCAAGUGCUGCCGGCUAUCGUCUAAUUUACCUACAACUGAGCAAUUCGAUUUUGUAAUAGCGCUCUUAA